rnacentral:rRNA from 2 species
UGGGUAGACCCCUGGGCGGCGUUGCCUCUAGAUGCAAGUCGAGCGAACAGAAGGGAGCUUGCUCCCGGAUGUUAGCGGCGGACGGGUGAGUAACACGUGGGUAACCUGCCUGUAAGACUGGGAUAACUCCGGGAAACCGGAGCUAAUACCGGAUAGUUCCUUGAACCGCAUGGUUCAAGGAUGAAAGACGGUUUCGGCUGUCACUUACAGAUGGACCCGCGGCGCAUUAGCUAGUUGGUGGGGUAAUGGCUCACCAAGGCGACGAUGCGUAGCCGACCUGAGAGGGUGAUCGGCCACACUGGGACUGAGACACGGCCCAAACUCCUACGGGAGGCAGCAGUAGGGAAUCUUCCGCAAUGGACGAAAGUCUGACGGAGCAACGCCGCGUGAGUGAUGAAGGUUUUCGGAUCGUAAAGCUCUGUUGUUAGGGAAGAACAAGUGCGAGAGUAACUGCUCGCACCUUGACGGUACCUAACCAGAAAGCCACGGCUAACUACGUGCCAGCAGCCGCGGUAAUACGUAGGUGGCAAGCGUUGUCCGGAAUUAUUGGGCGUAAAGGGCUCGCAGGCGGUUUCUUAAGUCUGAUGUGAAAGCCCCCGGCUCAACCGGGGAGGGUCAUUGGAAACUGGGAAACUUGAGUGCAGAAGAGGAGAGUGGAAUUCCACGUGUAGCGGUGAAAUGCGUAGAGAUGUGUAGGAACACCAGUGGCGAAUGCGACUCUCUGGUCUGUAACUGACGCUGAGGAGCGAAUCGUGGGGAGCGAACAGGAUUAUAUCCCCCGGUAGUCCACGCCGUAAACAAUGAGUGCUAAGUGUUAGGGGGUUCUCGCCUCUAUAUGCUGCC